CCAAUAGCGUAUAUUAAAGUUGUUGCAGUUAAAAAGCUCGUAGUUGAAUUUCAGGCCUGGCUGGACGGUCCGCCUUUUGGGUGAGUACUGUCUGUGGUCGGGUCCUACCUUCUGGCGAAGCGUCAUGGCCUUAACCGGCCGUGGCGGGGAACCAGGACUUUUACUGUGAAAAAAUUAGAGUGUUCAAAGCAGGCAAUCGCUUGAAUACAUUAGCAUGGAAUAAUGGAAUAGGACAAUGGUUCUAUUUGUUGGUUUCUAGGACCGUUGUAAUGAUUAAUAGGGAUAGUUGGGGGCAUUAGUAUUCAAUUGUCAGAGGUGAAAUUCUUGGAUUUAUUGAAGACUAACUACUGCGAAAGCAUUUGCCAAGGAUGUUUUCAUUAAUCAAGAACGAAAGUUAGGGGAUCGAAGACGAUCAGAUACCGUCGUAGUCUUAACCAUAAACUAUGCCGACUAGGAAUCGGGCGAUGUUGACAAAAUGACGCGCUCGGCACCUCAUG
rnacentral:rRNA from 1 species